rnacentral:rRNA from 1 species
AUUGAACGCUGGCGGCAGGCCUAACACAUGCAAGUCGAGCGGGGUUUUCGGACCUAGCGGCGGACGGGUGAGUAAUGCGUAGGAAGCUACCCGAUAGAGGGGGAUACCAGUUGGAAACGACUGUUAAUACCGCAUAAUGUCUAUGGACCAAAGUGUGGGACCUUCGGGCCAACUGCUGUCGGAUGCGCCGACGUGGGAUUAGCUAGUUGGUGAGGUAAUGGCUCACCAAGGCGACGAUCCCUAGCUGGUUUGAGAGGAUGAUCAGCCACACUGGAACUGAGACACGGUCCAGACUCCUACGGGAGGCAGCAGUGGGGAAUAUUGGACAAUGGGCGAGAGCCUGAUCCAGCCAUGCCGCGUGUGUGAAGAAGGCCUUCGGGUUGUAAAGCACUUUCAGUAGGGAGGAAGAGUUGAGUGUUAAUAGUACUCAGCUUUGACGUUACCUACAGAAGAAGCACCGGCUAACUCUGUGCCAGCCGCCGCCGUAAUAC